rnacentral:tRNA from 1 species
GGUCGGAAGUUCAAGUCUUCCCAGGCCCACCACACUCAUCGAGUGAGCAUUCGUCUUCUGGUUACGGGGCCAUAGCUCAGCUGGGAGAGCGCGUGCUUUGCAAGCAUGAGGUCGUCGGUUCGAUCCCGUCUGGCUCCACCAGAUGGUUUGAUCACCGACUACUCAUACCGUCGUCCGCGAAACAUCACUUCGCACUUACUAGUCCGGAUGGACAGUAAGCUGCGUGAUUUCUGACAUCGUAAAGAGGAGAUCGAUCCGAGUUGGAUCGGGCAACGAGCAAUUGUUGCGCGAUACUUCAUUAUCUCCGGAUCAUUUCGGCGCUCGUGCGUCUUCCAGGGUAGCUCACAAGGCUGCAUUGAAAGACGAGCGAGUUGUAAAUGAUCCUUUUAGCGAAGCUUGACCGCCUCGCUAUCGGAACGAUCUUACGAAGCAAGCUGGUCUUUCUAAUCAUUGUCCGGCUGCAGAUAGCGUUCAUCGAGGGCGCGUACCGCAAGGUAGUUCUGCAGACAACAUUCUGCCGAGUGUGUGGACAUUGAUAAUGAGAGC